GCUGGAUCAGCCCUAAGAAGGUAGCAAAGCAGGCUCUCCUGGAGUGGAGUAAAUAUGUUGCUCCACAUGAUAUAUCAUUUGCCAAGGGGCUGCUGCACAGUCUGAUGGGAGGUUUAUCCCCAGUAGGACAGGGAGGCCCCAACAUCACGAGAAAUCGGCGUAGCGUUGAUACACAACCUCAAAACAUCGAGGAGGAGCUGUUUUUGAGGGUCGGUCAAGUGGUGAUGGAAAUUAUAAAUCUUGUGCCUGAAGUGGAUAUGGUUGUUCAGAGUAUCCUUGGAACUGGCUUUCAGUCCAUGAAGUCAGCAACACU